GACGAACGCUGGCGGCGUGCUUAACACAUGCAAGUCGAACGGAAAGGCCCCUUUGGGGGUACUCGAGUGGCGAACGGGUGAGUAACACGUGAGUAACCUGCCCUUGACUUCGGGAUAACUUCAGGAAACUGGGGCUAAUACCGGAUAGGAAUCCUUGCUGCAUGGUGGGGGUUGGAAAGCUUCGGCGGUUUUGGAUGGACUCGCGGCUUAUCAGCUUGUUGGUGGGGUAGUGGCUUACCAAGGCUUUGACGGGUAGCCGGCCUGAGAGGGCGACCGGCCACAUUGGGACUGAGAUACGGCCCAGACUCCUACGGGAGGCAGCAGUGGGGAAUAUUGCACAAUGGGCGGAAGCCUGAUGCAGCAACGCCGCGUGCGGGAUGACGGCCUUCGGGUUGUAAACCGCUUUCAGCAGGGGCGAAGCUUGAGGUGAUGGUACCUGCAGAAGAAGCACCGGCUAACUACGUG
rnacentral:rRNA from 1 species